GUAUUCACUUUGCCAGCACAUAUACUAAAACUGAAAUGAUACAGAGAAGAUUAGCAUGGCCCCUGCAAAAGGAUGACACAUAAAUUCUUGAAGCAUUCCAUAUUUAA